AAGGGCACAGAUUUGGAGUCCAAGGGAGCUGACUCUCCUAGUAACUUUGGCAAAUUACUUACCUUCUCUAGUUCAGUUUCCUCUGACUUCCAAAGGAUUAACUAACAAUCUUACGGAUAUAAUAGAUCGUUUUCCCUGGUCAUUCAUUCUUGGUAUGUGGGAAUGAAUGCGGGGAGUUAUUUUCCAGGAGGAUCUCCUCAGCAUCUUCAGGAGAAUAGAUUUGCCCAAAUCUCUUCAGACAUGCCUGACCUGCUUAAGUGGAUGCACUUAGCUUCCAGCGGAGGUACCUGGCAGCCAGGGACUCUACAGCACCCGGAGCAACACUGAGAGAUAGAAGGUUCUGUGAAUGGCGAAUGGCAUUGCUGCUGGUGGGGAAAGCAAACCCCAGCAGCUUGCAAGGCAGAUUCCUUUUUCUUGUUCCUAGAAUUUAAAAGUUCCUUUCCCUUGUCCUCAGACCUGCUCUAUUUUUCAUUCUUCUGAUUCAUUGUUUUCAGAAGUUGGAUUGACUUUCAUUUUUAGGUGGCCUAGUACAGCUCUUCCUGGUCACUGGUUAGAUUUAUUUUUAUGCCCGAUAGGAAUCAGGGCAGAGAAAUCGUCUCAGAAUGUGUCACAUCCGGCUCAACUGACCAGCUAUGAUUUUAAGCUUUGUUCUUCUAAAAUAUUGAUAAACACAACUGUUAAUGUA